rnacentral:rRNA from 1 species
AAAGAUUAAGCCAUGCAUGUCUAAGUAUAAGCAAAUCUAUACGGUGAAACUGCGAAUGGCUCAUUAAAUCAGUUAUCGUUUAUUUGAUAGUACCUUGCUACAUGGAUACCUGUGGUAAUUCUAGAGCUAAUACAUGCGGAAAACCCCGACUUCGGAAGGGGUGUAUUUAUUAGAUAAAAAACCAAUGCCCUUCGGGGCUCCUUGGUGAUUCAUAAUAACUGCACGAAUCGCAUGGCCUUGCGCCGGCGAUGGUUCAUUCAAAUUUCUGCCCUAUCAACUUUCGAUGGUAGGAUAGUGGCCUACCAUGGUGGCAACGGGUAACGGGGAAUUAGGGUUCGAUUCCGGAGAGGGAGCCUGAGAAACGGCUACCACAUCCAAGGAAGGCAGCAGGCGCGCAAAUUACCCAAUCCCGAUUCGGGGAGGUAGUGACAAUAAAUACUGAUACAGGGCUCUUUUGGGUCUUGUAAUUGGAAUGAGUACAAUCUAAAUCCCUUAACGAGGAACAAUUGGAGGGCAAGUCUGGUGCCAGCAGCCGCGGUAAUUCCAGCUCCAAUAGCGUAUAUUAAAGUUGUUGCAGUUAAAAAGCUCGUAGUUGAACCUUGGGCCUGGCUGGCCGGUCCGCCUCACCGCGAGUACUGGUCCGGCCGGGCCUUUCCUUCUGGGGAACCCCAUGGCCUUCACUGGCCGUGGCGGGGAACCAGGACUUUUACUGUGAAAAAAUUAGAGUGUUCAAAGCAGGCCUUUGCUCGGAUACAUUAGCAUGGAAUAAUAGAAUAGGACGUGUGGUUCUAUUUUGUUGGUUUCUAGGACCGCCGUAAUGAUUAAUAGGGAUAGUCGGGGGCGUCAGUAUUCAGCUGUCAGAGGUGAAAUUCUUGGAUUUGCUGAAGACUAACUACUGCGAAAGCAUUCGCCAAGGAUGUUUUCAUUAAUCAGGGAACGAAAGUUAGGGGAUCGAAGACGAUCAGAUACCGUCGUAGUCUUAACCAUAAACUAUGCCGACUAGGGAUCGGACGGUGUUUCUAUGAUGACCCGUUCGGCACCUUACGAGAAAUCAAAGUUUUUGGGUUCUGGGGGGAGUAUGGUCCGCAGGCUGAACUUAAGAUUU